rnacentral:rRNA from 1 species
GUGCCAGCCGCCGCGGUAAUACGUAGGUGGCAAGCGUUAUCCGGAAUUAUUGGGCGUAAAGCGCGCGCAGGUGGUUUCUUAAGUCUGAUGUGAAAGCCCACGGCUCAACCGUGGAGGGUCAUUGGAAACUGGGAGACUUGAGUGCAGAAGAGGAAAGUGGAAUUCCAUGUGUAGCGGGGAAAUGCUUGUAGAUAUGGAGGAACAACAGUGGCAAAGGCUACGUUCUGGUCUGUA